rnacentral:rRNA from 1 species
GUCUCAGUUCGGAUUGUAGUCUGCAACUCGACUACAUGAAGCUGGAAUCGCUAGUAAUCGCAGAUCAGAAUGCUGCGGUGAAUACGUUCCCGGGUCUUGUACACACCGCCCGUCACACCAUGGGAGUCGGAAAUGCCCGAAGCCGGUGACCCAACCAAAAGGAGGGAGCCGUCGAAGGCAGGUCUGAUAACUGGGGUGAAGUCGUAACAAGGUAGC